rnacentral:snRNA from 1 species
GUGCUUGCUUCCGCAGCACAUAUACUAAAAUUGGAAUAAUAUAGAGAAGAUUAGCAUGACCCCUGCACAAGGAAUCCCAACGUGAUGGCAGAGAAUUAACUAUAGAGA